UAAGGAAAGAAGGCAGAGAAGAAACAGAAAGGGGGGAAAGAAAGGAAAGGAGAGACUCCAUUAUGGCUCCGAUGAUCGUGAAAUCCCAGAAGACUAACUCGCCCCCUUUUUUUUAGUGUUUUUUUUUUUUUUUUUUU
rnacentral:ribozyme from 1 species